rnacentral:rRNA from 1 species
UUGAACGCUGGCGGCAGGCCUAACACAUGCAAGUCGAGCGGAUGAAGGGAGCUUGCUCCUGGAUUCAGCGGCGGACGGGUGAGUAAUGCCUAGGAAUCUGCCUGGUAGUGGGGGAUAACGUCCGGAAACGGGCGCUAAUACUGCAUACGUCCUGAGGGAGAAAGUGGGGGAUCUUCGGACCUCACGCUAUCAGAUGAGCCUAGGUCGGAUUAGCUAGUUGGUGGGGUAAAGGCCUACCAAGGCGACGAUCCGUAACUGGUCUGAGAGGAUGAUCAGUCACACUGGAACUGAGACACGGUCCAGACUCCUACGGGAGGCAGCAGUGGGGAAUAUUGGACAAUGGGCGAAAGCCUGAUCCAGCCAUGCCGCGUGUGUGAAGAAGGUCUUCGGAUUGUAAAGCACUUUAAGUUGGGAGGAAGGGCAGUAAGUUAAUACCUUGCUGUUUUGACGUUACCAACAGAAUAAGCACCGGCUAACUUCGUG